AGUGAACGCUGGCGGUAGGCCUAACACAUGCAAGUCGAACGGCAGCACAGUAAGAGCUUGCUCUUACGGGUGGCGAGUGGCGGACGGGUGAGGAAUACAUCGGACUCUACUUUUUCGUGGGGGAUCACGUAGGGACACUUACGCUAAUCCCGCAUACGACCUACGGGUGAAAGCAGGGGAUCUUCGGACCUUGCGCGAUUGUAUGAGCCGAUGUCGGAUUAGCUAGUUGGCGGGGUAAAGGCCCACCAAGGCGACGAUCCGUAGCUGGUCUGAGAGGAUGAUCAGCCACACUGGAACUGAGACACGGUCCAGACUCCUACGGGAGGCAGCAGUGGGGAAUAUUGGACAAUGGGCGCAAGCCUGAUCCAGCCAUACCGCGUGGGUGAAGAAGGCCUUCGGGUUGUAAAGCCCUUUUGUUGGGAAAGAAAAGAAGCAGGUUAAUACCCCGCUGUUCUGACGGUACCCAAAGAAUAAGCACCGGCUAACUUCGUG
rnacentral:rRNA from 1 species